CAAUAGCGUAUAUUUAAGUUGUUGCAGUUAAAAAGCUCGUAGUUGGAUUUCGGUUAAGAGCGACCGGUCCGCCGUUUGGUGUGCACUGGUUGGUUUUAACUUCCUGUAGAGGACGUGCUCUGGGUUUAACGACCUGGACUCGGAGUCUACGUGGUUACUUUGAAAAAAUUAGAGUGUUCAAAGCGGGCUUACGCUCGAAUAUUUCAGCAUGGAAUAACACUAUAGGACUCCUGUCCUAUUUCGUUGGUCUCGGGACGGGAGUAAUGAUUAAGAGGAACAGUUGGGGGCAUUCGUAUUUCAUUGUCAGAGGUGAAAUUCUUGGAUUUAUGAAAGACGAACUUCUGCGAAAGCAUUGGCCAAGGAUGUUUUCAUUAA
rnacentral:rRNA from 1 species